ncrna:unclassified sequences TwoGGAY RNA
UAGCGAAGUGGUUUAGAUACUGUAGAAAAUAUGCCCAUGAGACACAGAAACGCCCCGGCAUGGAUGCAGGGGCGAGGAGAAACGCGCCAUGGACGGCGCGUUUUCGACGGUUUCGUCAAGUAUAGAAAACCCUCAGCAUAAAUUCGUACAGUAUCUUAGCCACGU